CCCAUGGCGCCAUCGUCUCCAGUCCAAACGAGCCCCGCCGUCCUUCCCUAUUCCAGCGUCACUGACCAAAAGACCAACCUCGUCGUCCAAACGGCCAUGAAGACCAACUCCAACUCCAAACGCCGCGGACCAAGUCCAGUCACACCGAGCUUCGCCAUUCAGUCUUCAGUUUUGUUCAGUCGUCGUCUUCAUUUGUCUUCAGUCGUCGUCUUCAGUCUUCCUCAAUGCUGCUCGUCUUCAGUCGUCGUCUUUUGAGUUCAAGGCUGUCCGUCGGAGCUCCUGUUUUUCCGACGAGGUCUGCAAUUUGUCUGAGGUUAACGUUCGUUAAUCUCCGGUUCGGUUCUUUGUUUUGGUAAGAUCUCGAUGUACUCUUUACUUCAGGAGCCCGUCUGUCUUAUUAAUCUCCGGUUCACUUAUUAGAGUCAAUUUAAAGACCUUGACGUGCUUAAUCGUAGUAGUGUAAAUUUCAUCUAGAUCUAUUUCUUUAUUAAUAAUACGUGAUUUGCCAUGCUGAAUUCGUUUGUAAAUUGUUAUGUUCCUUCUGAUUUGCUUGGUGAUUUCUACUUUUGGUUGUCAGUUUAGACAGCUUUCAUGCGCAUACUUGUGAAAUUGUCAUCUUUGUGUAUACUUGUGCAAUUAUUAGCUUUUGGACAUAAACAAACAGAUCUAUCAUUUUUAACAUAAAGUUGGGUAAUGAGUAAGUAGAUGAAGAGAUUUACAAGUUUUAUGUCUUGAUCUGAUCUAAGUUCUAUCUUAAGUAAUUAGUGAAUUGAUAGGUGAAUUGGUUUUAUCUGAUAUGGUUGUAGUACAUGUUUGGGAUGAGGGUAUAAUGGUAAUUUUAGUAGUUUGAGGGGUAUAUUUUUGGAAUUGAAAAGUAAUAAAUUGUUUAAUAAAAGUGAGGAUAUAUAAAGUAAAAAGAGGGGACAAGACAUGUGGGAGCAUAAGGAUGUAAAGUAAAAGAGGGUGGACUGUGGGGUCCAUGUUUGACUACUUUUUGCUUUAAUAAUAAAAGUUGAAAAGUAAGAGUAAAAGGAGGGGUAAUAAUAAAAGGGGUAGGGAUAAUAAUUAAAGGGGAUGGGAGAAAGAGUCUGACUUUGGUUGUAAAAUAGAAGUCAUUUGUCACUUAGAGGGGAGGAGAAUUUGAGAGAUAAAAAAUUGAGAACUUUAAAAUUCAGUCUUUGAGAAUUAAAAAUAAAAAGUGGGGUCUUUUCUUUACUGAUGAAUAUCAGAAUUAGUAUUGUUACCACUUCACUGGUUAUUGCUGGAUUUUCUGCUUGGGUUUUAAAUCUAUUCAUGUGGUUAUCUUGCACUGUUUGUUACUGGUUUACUGCUUUGGUUGUUGAACCUGUUGUUGUUGUUGUGUUGUGCUACUGCUGCACCACUGACUUCUUCCUCUUCUUUUCUUUCCAAAUACCAGGUACACGACUGUAACACUGGCUAUUGUAAGCUGAAAAAUGUAGAAGCAUGAAUACAUAUAAAAAAUGGAAGUUUGAAGUUUUGACUUAAUUUUUUCUUUACGUGAUUUUAUUUUAGAACAUUUCUUACACUACGGUUAUGUAGAUUUCUGCCAGCUUUGUAUAGCUAGACUGUAUUCAGUUUGAUUUGGAUUAAUUGAUGUUAUAAUUAUAAUGAACUAUUAGGAUGUAGCUACCGGCUGUAGUAAUAUUUGCUUGUAGAAUGCAGCACGAAACAAUUCUCCAUUUUUACGAGCUCGGGUGCAAUUUUCGUUCACAUUAAUCUAACAACUAAUAAGAGGCCCGAACUUGCCUAGCACAUAAAUUAAUUAGGAUUUUUUCU
rnacentral:lncRNA from 1 species